rnacentral:rRNA from 1 species
CCUACGGGUGGCAGCAGUGGGGAAUAUUGGGCAAUGGGCGCAAGCCUGACCCAGCAACGCCGCGUGAAGGAAGAAGGCUUUCGGGUUGUAAACUUCUUUUCUCAGGGACGAAGCAAGUGACGGUACCUGAGGAAUAAGCCACGGCUAACUACGUGCCAACAGCCGCGGUAAUACGAAGGUGGCAAGCGUUAUCCGGUUUUACUGGGUGUAAGGGGCGUGGAGGCGGGAAUGAAAGUCAGAUGUGAAAACCAGGGGCUCAACCUGUGGCCUGCAUUUGAAACUGUAGUUUUUGAGUACUGGAGAGGCAGACGGAAUUCCUAGUGUAGCGGUGAAAUG